UAGAUGUAGCCGGAUGGGCUACUCGCCUUUCUUUUCUCUCUCUCGCUCGCCCGCUCUACUGCUCUCGCUCUCUCCUGCGCUCGCUCUCACUGCAAAACUAGGUCAAUUGGGAACCCACCUGCAUGUUGAUUGCAGGCUGGCACCAGGUAUAAAGCAAAGCCUGUGCUUCUCUGAACUAUUCCUCCCAUGCAUUCAGCACAAAGCAGUAGUAAAUGCUGGCACUCUGCGACGGACUGAUCGGCAAGAGUAGAUCAUAUGACAGCCACAGCGCGGCAGGUUGUUUUGUUCCGGCGUUGCGGAGAGAGGUGCUUGUGUGAUUUCCCCCACCAGUGAGAGUAUAGCGCCUCCGGUCCUGGGGGUUGGAGCGCUGCCUUCACCUCCGUGGCAACUCACACAGCCUUAAGUGAAGAAUCAAGACACCUGCCUAGCCGUUGUUGUGAGGGCUCCUCCUCAGUGGAGCCUGCUGUCUUGUCUUGUCUUGUCUUGUCUUGUCUUGUCUGGUUUUGAAUUGUUUUAUCGUGUCUUAUCUUGUUUUAUUAAGUAGGCCUACCAUUUCCUGGUUCGCCUGGUUUUAUUUUAUUUUAUUUCUGAACUGUGGCGUGUGCCCACGCUUCUGUGAUCGGGCUGAAGCCAUUCUUUGCCCGAGUGUCGUGCCGGGGAUUUUAAAUUGCCCCCGUUGCUGGUCUUAGCCUGUGGGGAGCCAGACCAGCUCGCGAUUGAGGCUGGGACCAUUACUACCAUGAACGGAGGACGUACCAGUGGCCCUGGGACCUUAGGUGGUGGGUCGUUUUCACACUUUCUUUUGUACAGCACCGGGUGGGCUGCAGUGAUUUUCGUUUUGUGUGAUUUUCUUUUGGGUCCACGGCUGCUGGUAAGUCCAAGUUCCAUGUUUGUUUUAUUUUCACUUUAGGACACUGUCAACAAUGACGCUACAUCUUGGUUUCUAAAUAUUUUAUUUAUUUUUACUAUAAAUAAAACUGUUUUAAUAUUGGA